rnacentral:ncRNA from 1 species
CUCUUAUCCAGAGAGGUGGAGGGACUGGCCCGAUGAAACCCGGCAACCAUUUGCGCCCUCACGUGCAAAAAGGUGCUAAUUCCUGCAGGUGUCGACCUGGCAGAUGAGAG